rnacentral:rRNA from 1 species
UACGUAGGGAGCAAGCGUUGUCCGGAAUCAUUGGGCGUAAAGCGCGCGUAGGUGGCUCUGUAAGUCCGUUGUGAAAGUCAAAGGCUCAACCUUUGAAAGCCGAUGGAUACUGCAGGGCUAGAGUACGGAAGAGGCGAGUGGAAUUCCUGGUGUAGCGGUGGAAUGCGCAGAUAUCAGGAGGAACACCAAUAGCGAAGGCAGCUCGCUGGGACGUUACUGACACUGAGGCGCGAAAGCGUGGGGAGCGAACAGG